UCUGAGAGCUCCUGCUGUGCCCUCUCUCCAUCCUGAGUUGUGGGCUACCCCAGAGCUUGACCUGCGAUAUAUAGAAGGGGAAAAAAACCUAGGAACUCGCUUCUGGGUCCUCAUUUAAGAUCUCGGGUCCCUUACCCAGGGCCUACUGCUUUUUAGCCACUGUGGCUGGCAAAAUAACGCCUCCCCCAUCCCCUCCUCCCUAACCAAAAGAGGUCUGUGUUCAAAUUCCUGAAACCUGUGGCAAAGGAGCCUUGGCCGACCUAAUUAAGUUAAUGAGAUUAACUGGGUUAUCUGGGUGGGCCAAUGAAAUCGCAGGGGUCCUUAUUACCAAGCAGCCAGCGGGUGACGUCAGCCAGAGGCCAUGGGAUAAAGAAGCUGGAGUUGCGGGCGGUUUCUGGAACUCGUUAUGGAGGAAAUAGAUUAUUCUCUAGAGCUUCUGGAAGGAACACAGCACUGCAGACCCUGUUUGGGUUUCUGACCUCUCCGACCCCAAGAUAAUUUCCAGAACUCGUCAAACGUCUCAGAUCAUCAGCAGAUGGCUCCAUGGUGUCUAUCAGGAAGAGGGAUGGCUUCUGCGAGGGGAGAGGAAGGCAUGGGAAUUUUCCACAAGAAAACAGAGAACAAAUAAGUGCGUCCUUGGAGAGAAGUCCAGGCAGUCAGGGGAGCAGCCAGCUGAGAGGAUGGGGCCCACAGAGGAAGCUGGGUUCACAGUGCCAGGGGCCAGGCGCAGAUUCCGUGCCCCUCCUUGGAGUCAUCCCAAUCCCAGACCUCACGGCCGAAGAAGGACCAGAGUACAGGGCCUUUUGUUCCACGUCCCCUUCCGAGGCGCACACAUGGGAGGUGUGCACCGAGCGAGGUUUUGAGUUUUAGAAUCCCUGCAAGACUCUUCCUGCCGUCUUGAAGGAAGAGCUCCGGGGACUGGUUGAGGAGGCACCGAGGAGUCUGAGCAAGCCAGCAGGCAGGAAACAAAGCCUGGGGUUAAUAACGAGCAACUUUAUCAUAGACGUUGUCUGUGAAAACUUCAGAACUAAAUGUCCUGGGCAAAUUUUCAUUUCUCUUUCAUGCUAGGGACACGUCAGCUCCUCGCUUCUAAUUAGCAUUGCUCAAAUGCCACAGCAAGAUGGGUGAGAAUCAGGCUUUCAUCUCCUGUCGCAUUUGUCCGUGGAGCUGCCAUCGCCAUCAGCGUCUGUGUAGCUUUAUUCCUUCACUUCUUGGUGUUCUCUCUGACAGUAAGAAAUUCGCUUCCUCCAUGGAACAAGUGUCAUUCUGUUAAAACUGAAUGCCUGUCAUCUCUUCCUUGCGAGUAAUGUGCAUUUGAUCAAAGAGUCUGGAUGGCUCACACAGAUGUCCCACAAUGCUCUUCUCCAUAGGAAGCCAUUUUUCUUUCCUGAGGCUAUUAACUGGCUUACAAUAAAAACCUUUAAGCACGCCU